rnacentral:rRNA from 1 species
GUCGAGCGCGCCCUUCGGGGUGAGCGGCGGACGGGUUAGUAACGCGUGGGAAUAUGCCCAAAGGUACGGAAUAGCCUCUGGAAACGGAGAGUAAUACCGUAUGUGCCCUUCGGGGGAAAGAUUUAUCGCCUUUGGAUUAGCCCGCGUUAGAUUAGGUAGUUGGUGGGGUAAUGGCCUACCAAGCCUACGAUCUAUAGCUGGUUUUAGAGGAUGAUCAGCAACACUGGGACUGAGACACGGCCCAGACUCCUACGGGAGGCAGCAGUGGGGAAUCUUGGACAAUGGGGGCAACCCUGAUCCAGCCAUGCCGCGUGAGUGAUGAAGGCCUUAGGGUCGUAAAGCUCUUUCGCCUGUGAAGAUAAUGACGGUAGCAGGUAAAGAAACCCCGGCUAACUCCGUGCCAGCAGCCGCGGUAAUACGGAGGGGGUUAGCGUUGUUCGGAAUUACUGGGCGUAAAGCGCACGUAGGCGGAUCGGAAAGUUGGGGGUGAAAUCCCGGGGCUCAACCCCGGAAACUG